rnacentral:rRNA from 1 species
AACGGUCCUACCAUGCUGAAUAUACCGGUUCUCGUUAGAUCACCGAAGUCAAGCGACAUUGGGCGCGGUCAGUACUUGGGUGGGUGACCACCUGGGAACACCGCGUGCCGUU